CAAAGGUAGCGUAAUCAUUUGUCUAUUAAUUGUAGACCUGUAUGAAAGGCAAAAUGAGGAUCUACCUGUCUCUUAUAAUAAGUCAAUUAAACUGAUCUCCCAGUAAAAAAGCUAGGAUUAACACAUAAGACCAGAAGACCCUGUGAAGCUUAAACUAAACUAUUAAACCAAAUAAUAACUACUUUCGGUUGGGGCGACCUUGGAAAAAAAAAGAACUUCCAAAUACAUGACCAUAACUCAUACCACCAAGGCCUACAAGCCUAAAAUAGACCCAGCACAGCUGACAAUUGAACCAAGUUACUCCAGGGAUAACAGCGCCAUCUUCUUCAAGAGCCCAUAUCAAAAAGAAGGUUUACGACCUCGAUGUUGGAU
rnacentral:rRNA from 1 species